rnacentral:lncRNA from 1 species
AUGUAGAACCUCGAUGGGAAUUCAUAACAAACAAGAUAUUCGUUCUCCCUAAAGGAAAUUUCAUGGGGAGUUCUAAAAGGCAUCAAAAUAUUGGAUAAUCAUUUGGUCUUUCAAAAUAUUGCUUAUGAGUCUACUUGUUUUUAGGAUUUCUCUUUAUUCUUGGUAUCUAAAGGCUCUUCCAUUUCGUAAGGAAUCGAUUAAAGGUAAAUUAUUCAUUAACCAAAAU